rnacentral:lncRNA from 1 species
AUGACACUGGUGCUGUGGGAGGGCCCCGGAGGGCCCAGAGCCCCUGGGAUGGGAGCAGCACCCUGGCUGUGGUCUCCCCCAUGGUGGAGCCCUGGCAGAGGCAGGAUGGAGAAGGAGGAGUGUAUCCCCGUCACCCAGCUGGGCCGCCUGGUCAAGGAGGCGGGGAUCAAGUCCCUGGAAGAGAUCUGCCCCUUGCCCGCCAUCAGGGAGCCUGAGAUCACUGACCCUUCCCAGGGGGCAUCCCUCCCGGAUGAGGUUUCGAAGAUGACGCAGCCCCUUACUGGCCAGCGAUCGGGGUUCAAGGCGUCUGUUGCCGUUGGAGCUCACACUGGAGACGUCUGGGGGAAACUGAAGGGGAGAAAGAAAAAUGUUCACUAUACUUGGCUUCAUUUAAUUUUUAAAGCUGAAAGUAAUGAAGAUGUCCUACUGCAUGUCCUGUCAUUGUCUUCUGCAGCUCUACUCAGACAUUUUCCCAGGAUGACCAGUGGAGUACCGCGGAGGGUGUAACUGCAGAGCCUAAGGAAGCUCUAUUAAAUCAACACUCAUGGUGCUAAAACACACACACACACACACACACACACACACACUCAUGGUGCUAAUGUCCUCCACCAUCCUCUGAAGCCCAUGGUGAAAAUGCACCACUCCUUCCUAGCAGUCAGCUCUGCGAUGCACGGAGACCUUACCUCUGCGUGUCUCUGCUAACUCUCAUUAAUUUUUCUGAAAAUGCAGGACAGCUGUGACUCAGCAAAAUUUCUUGACGGACAACUUUUGUCUCCCUUAGCAACUUCCCUCUAGCCUUCCAGAUUCUUGUCUUUUGAGCUAUAAAGUUAGAUGGUUCAAUACCAGAAUCUUGCCAGAAAGUUAGAUGGUUCAAUACCGAAUCUUCUAAUUUCUUACUUAAGAAUAUCAGCAAGUGUGAGCUUGAAAAUGAAGUCUCUACAUUGAAAAAAUUCAUUCUGAGGUUAAAAUGAAAUAUUCGAAAAUCUCAAAAAGGGUCCCCCUCAAAACCAAUAAAUGCUUAAAUAAACAUGAUGAGACAGCCAUAUAAAAGCUAUUUAAAAAUAAAAAUAUAUGGUUAGGAUGAAAUAGCUGGUUAUUACAGCAUGCUUGAUGCUAUUAAUAGGGGUUAAUUAUUGGUAUUAAAAUAUAUUGGGGGAUACGUUGGGAAAUCAGAAUACAGAUUGGAUAGUAAAUAACCUUAGAGCACAACAAUUUAGUUACAUUGCUAAGUUAAUUGUAUGAUGGACAUUUAAUACAUCUCUAUUAAUGCACCAAAGAAAACUCACAGAAUGAGUAAAGGGUGGGUGGUGGUUAAAGCAUACAGGCACAGGGGUGCCUCAGUGGCAUAGUCAGGUAAGCAUCUUGUUGGUUUCAGCCUAGGUCCUGAUCUCAGGGCUGUGAGAUCAAGCCCCAAGUCUGGCUCCAUGCUCAGCACUGAAUCUGCUUAAGAUUCUCUCUCCCUCUGCCCCUCCCACCCUUUCUAAAAUAAAUAAGUCUUAAAAAAAAAAAGAAGCAUUUAGGCACAUAUAUAGCUGGAGUUUGGAUCCUAGCUCUCCAUUCAGUUCAGUGAACUUGAAAAGUUUCUCAAUCUAUAAAGUAGAAAUAACAAUGAUGACCAAUUAAUAGUGUCAUUGUUACAAGAAUUAAAUGAAGGAAUCCAUUUAGCACACAGUGCCUGACAGUAGUAAGCACUCGAUAUAUGCCUUCAUUAUUACUCUUGACAGAUUUUUAUAGAUUAUUUGUUUAGGGAAAAAUUAUUUUGGUAUAAAUGGUCAGCAGAGAUCUGAUGCUUUCCUUUCUCUCUACAUUUCCCAAUUAAAUUACUUUAAAAGGGGUAAGGGACUUACUUAAGAUGACUUUCAGAGUCCUUGCAUGAGGAAACAUAAUAUAACAAAUUCUGU